AAGUCGUAACAAGGUCUCCGUAGGUGAGUUUGAACGACUUCUAACUAAUAUUGAAUGAAUGCUAACAGAUUUCCAGUGAACCUGCGGAGGGAUCAUUACUGAGUGAGGGUCUCUGACCGACCUCCAACCCUUUGUGAUUUAAACCUCUGUUGCCUCGGGGCGACCGGACCGCGUUAGGGCCCCGACGGACCAUUUCAAAACACUGCAUCUUUGCGUCGGAUUGAAUAAAGUAAAUGAUUAAAACUUUCAACAACGGAUCUCUUGGUUCUGGCAUCGAUGAAGAACGCAGCGAAAUGCGAUAAGUAAUGUGAAUUGCAGAAUUCAGUGAAUCAUCGAGUUUUGAACGCACACUGCGCCCUUGGUAUUCCGAGGGGCAUGCCGUUCGAGCGUCAUUUCACCAACUCAAGCCUGGCUUGGUAUUGGGCACCGGGGCGACCCGGCCUCAAGUCGCGGCUGGAACUCGAGUCUCAGCGUUGUGAUCAAUCAAUUCGCUCUGCAGAAGGGUGAGCCGUGCCGUUAAGACAUCUUAUCUAAAGGUUGACCUCGGAUCGGGUAGGAAUACCGCUGAACUUAA
rnacentral:rRNA from 1 species